UACAGAGGAGCCAAGCGUUGUCCGGAUUGACUGGGCGUAAAGCGCACGCAGGCGGUUUGGCGCGUGGGGUGUGAAAUCUGGCCGCUUAACGGCCAGGCGCCAUCCCAUACGGCUAGACUGGAGUGAUGCAGAGGUCGGUGGAAUUGCCGGUGUAGUGGUGAAAUGCGUAGAUAUCGGGAGGAACACCAGUGGCGAAGGCGACUACCUGGCCUGUUUCUUGACGCUGAGGCGCGAAAGCUAGGGGAGCAAACGGG
rnacentral:rRNA from 1 species